GACGAACGCUGGCGGCGUGCUUAACACAUGCAAGUCGAACGGAAAGGCCCUGCUUGCAGGGUACUCGAGUGGCGAACGGGUGAGUAACACGUGGGUGAUCUGCCCUGCACUUCGGGAUAAGCCUGGUAAACUGGGUCUAAUACCGGAUAGGAGCCAUUUUUAGUGUGAUGGUUGGAAAGUUUUUUCGGUGUAGGAUGAGCUCGCGGCCUAUCAGCUUGUUGGUGGGGUAAUGGCUUACCAAAGCGGCGGCGGGUAGCCGGCCUGAGAGGGUGGACGGCCACCUUGGGACUGAGAGACGGCCCAGACACCGACGGGAGGCAGCAGGGGGGAAGAUUGCACAAUGGGCGCAAGCCUGAUGCAGCGACGCCGCGUGGGGGAUGACGGCCUUCGGGUUGUAAACUCCUUUCGCUAGGGACGAAGCUUUUUGUGACGGUACCUAGAUAAGAAGCACCGGCUAACUACGUG
rnacentral:rRNA from 1 species